GGGGGUAUAACUCAGCGGUAGAGUGUCACCUUGACGUGGUGAAAGUCCUCGGUUCGAAUCCGAUUACCCCAA
rnacentral:tRNA from 2 species